CUGGCCAUUGAGUGUGAGUGGGAAUCCCUGAGCAUGUUUCUUUCCUAACAAAUUUUAAUGAGUCUGAGGGAAUCAAAUAUUCAAAUGUGCAUGUGAUCCCCAUCCACCAGGAAUGGUGAGUGCGAGGUGUUACUACACAUGAUAUUUUGUAGAAAAAAAAAAUGUCAAUUGUGUUUUGUGAUAAAAGUUUCUUGUCCUUCUUGGAUCAAUCAAAAUGCCAAAUAUCUCUUCACAUGAAAGGCCAAAAUGUUUUACUUGGUAAGAGUAAAUCAUGAGAUAUUAUACACCUAUCAAAACAAAGAAUCACAAGGAUGGACCUCCACCAUUUUCUUUGAAAGCUUUCCUUAACAUCUAAAUGAUGAUGGCAUUUGAACUUACUGCCAACAGGCAGUUCCAGGUUGUUCCAUUCUCUCGGUCUCCUUGGGCUAUAUAUAUGGUUUGUGGUGUAAGCUUCUGUCAUGGGAGAAUAGUUCUGGAAGGCCUGCAAUGUGUAAAGGCUAGCUGGGUAGGCCAUGUAUGUCUUCAUUUCUUCUUGUCAUUUGGUCAGGUGUGCCUUGUCCUUCUUAACUGGCCAAAUGAAUGUGUUUGGUAAUGUUGUUUAAGUUAGCUCGUUGUUGUUGUUGUUGAUGAAGACGACAAUGAUGCUGUUGCUGCUUGUAUUGUCAGGUUUCGGUCUUCCACAACCGAAACAUAUGGUAUAUCAAGAGAGAAGAAGCAACUUCACCAUUGUUUUAGAUGAAACAAACCAUAGUUUAAUUAAUUAUCCUUUAAUUAAACAAAAAAGAGGAACAUUUCAUAUUUUAUUUUCUCUAUUUUCUUUCUUUUCUUCAUAGAGAUACAAAUUGGGGAUUGCAAAUCAACCAUUUAAUUGAAGCAUGACAAAUGUGGCUAAUGAGUUCUGUACUGCCACAAGGUAGAGAAAGAAAGGCUUGAUCGGUAUGUUAGUUUCACACCAUUUAAAAAUGGUGGUGACUCUUCCGAUGUACAUAAGACAGUUGUAUUGCAAUCCGGACCAUGCAAAUCAAUGAUGUAACUGUGGAUGGAUAAUAACAAAACCAUGGCGCCGAUGAGAUGGUAAACCAUCUUAUUUUUCA